rnacentral:precursor_RNA from 1 species
UGGGGAGGGCCGGACAGAGCAGCCGAGGCCCGCUGACCCUGUCCGCCCCUUCCCAGG